AUGCGGAGCCAAUCACGUGAUGUGGUGGUUCCAGCAGAGGGCGCAGCCCUUGCAGAUGCCGGGAGACCGGAGGCAGAGGGGGCGUGACGAGGCGUCGGGGGCCAGGUCUGGGAGGCUGAUGGGACACCCUCGAGAAUAAACGCGAAGGGAUAGGAGUCUGCUAUCUGAAUUGAGCCACAGAAGCUGAAGAGACCAGGCCUUGGGGUGAAGCCACAAUUCUGGAGCACUGCCUCUGGGGGCCUCUUUCUCACGCUUGUCACCCUAUUCGUGGUCCACUUUGAACAGGAUUGAACUUCCAGAAGCACUGUCUUUUGUUUUCUUUGCACGAGGUAGGCUCAGGAAGGUGCAGAAUCGGGGAGGCUGUAGGCCUCCAGAACGCUAGUCCCCGGUGUGCCCUGGAAGCUGCCUCGCGGAGACACAAGUCGGGGAAGCACUGGCAAGCAUCUGAGCUCCAGACAAUUAAGUCGUGUACCCUGAAAUGUCCGCAAAGAACCACUGAGCCCAAGCGAGCCUUUUGCUGAAAGACCAGCCUCCAUUGCACGAGCUGCUUUCGAAGAGUCCUUCCAAGUCUGUGUGGCCCCGGCCCAGGUCCCACUGCUCAGUCUGCUGGGGUUUGGGAUGUUUGGUCAGCGACUUGAGAACCUGGUAACUGGCAGGGUGCAGAAAUGGGGAGAGUUUCGCAGAGGCCUCUUCUUUGCACACUCUUGUCUUCAGAUGGUGAUUGCAGCCAUGAAAUUAAAAGACACUUGCUCCUUGGAAGAAAAGAUAUGGCCAACCUAGACAGCAUAUUAAAAAGCAGAGACAUUACUUUGCCAACAAAUGUCCUUCUAGUCAAGGCUAUGGUUUUUCCAGUGGUCAUGUAUGGAUGUGAGAGUUGGAGUGUGAAGAAAGCUGAGUGCCGAAGAAUUGAUGCUUUUGAACUGUGGUGUUGGAGAAGACUCUUGAGAGUCCCUUGGACUGCAAGGAGAUCCAACCAGUCCAUCCUGAAGGAGAUCAGUCCUGGGUGUUCAUUGGAAGGACUGAUGUUGAAGCUGAAACUCCAAUACUUUGGUCAUCUGAUGCGAAGAACUGACUCAUUUGAAAAGACCCUGAUUCUGGGAAAGAUUGAAGGCGGGAGGAUAAGGGAACGGCAGAGUAUGAGAUGGUUGGAUGACAUCAUCAACUCAAUGGACAUGAGUUUGAGUAAACUCCAGGAGUUGGUGAUGGACAGGGAGGCCCGGUGUGCUGCAGUCCAUGGAGUCGCAAAGAGUCAGACAGGACUGAACGACUGGACUGAGCUGAGGCCUCUCUGAGUGGGAGUUUGAUGUACGACGCAGGGAACCCAAAGGUGGUGCUCUGUGACAGCCUGGAGGAAUGGGCGGGGAGGGAGGUCGGACGGGGUUCAGGAGAGAG